rnacentral:rRNA from 1 species
CACGUAGGGCGCAAGCGUUGUCCGGAAUUAUUGGGCGUAAAGAGCUCGUAGGCGGUCUGUUGCGUCCGCUGUGAAAACUCGGGGCUUAACCCCGAGCCUGCAGUGGAUACGGGCAGACUAGAGGUAGGUAGGGGAGAAUGGAAUUCCCGGUGUAGCGGUGAAAUGCGCAGAUAUCGGGAGGAACACCGAUGGCGAAGGCAGGUCUCUGGGCAUUAACUGACGCUGAGGAGCGAAAGCAUGGGGAGCGAACAGG